UGGGGCGUGGCCAAGUGGUAAGGCAACGGGUUUUGGUCCCGUAAAUUGGAGGUUCAAAUCCUCCCGUCCUAG
rnacentral:tRNA from 1 species